GAUGAAGAACGCAGCGAAAUGCGAUAAGUAAUGUGAAUUGCAGAAUUCAGUGAAUCAUCGAAUCUUUGAACGCACAUUGCGCCCGCCAGUAUUCUGGCGGGCAUGCCUGUUCGAGCGUCAUUUCAACCAUCAAGCCCCCGGCUUGUGUUGGGGACCUGCGGCUGCCGCAGGCCCUGAAAUGCAGUGGCGGGCUCGCUGUCACUCCGAGCGUAGUAGUUACAUCUCGCUCUGGGCGUGCUGCGGGUUCCGGCCGUUAAAAGCCUUAUUUACACAAGGUUGGCCUCGGAUCAGGUAGGAAGACCCGCUGAACUUAAGCAUAUCAAUAAGCGGAGGA
rnacentral:misc_RNA from 1 species